GCCUCCUUGAAGAAAAACUACAACUUUCUAAAACAAGACCCAGACGCAGGAAGCAAGUCUCCUGGCAUCCAUGCACAUAAUACACCUCCUACAGCAGAUGAAGAAUCUUCGACGGAUUAUGGAACCAUUAGCAGAGCAUCCCACUG